CAAGACGUAGCUAUAAGACGAAAGCAUUCAGCUUACACCUGAAAGAUAUCUGAUACACACCAGAUCGUCUUGA
rnacentral:tRNA from 1 species